UGAGAAGUGAACCCUUUCAGGCUCAUGUCUUCUUGGGAACCCACCUUCUUUACAUUGCCUUCUGGCAUUGACUGUGUGCUGUGGUUUUCUAAAGACACCCUGUCUCACACUGCAACCAGAUACCCUUGACCCGCUACAGUUUGGAGCCAUUUCUUGGCCACGCAACUCAUCACCACCCAGAAAGGUUAAAAAAGAAGAAGAAAAAGAAGAAAAGAAAAAGGCAACGGUCUUCAGGAAUGUAACCCUGUGCAUGCCGAAGCUCCAGCUGGGGCCAGAAUCACAGACCCGGACGCGGAAGCUGACAGGCCGUGUGCACAGCGGUCUCGUGCCACCCGCCCCC